AUUGAACGCUCGCGGGAUGCUUUACACAUGCAAGUCGAACGGCAGCGCGGACUUCGGUCUGGCGGCGAGUGGCGAACGGGUGAGUAAUGUAUCGGAACGUGCCCAGUAGCGGGGGAUAACUACGCGAAAGCGUAGCUAAUACCGCAUACGCCCUACGGGGGAAAGCAGGGGAUCGCAAGACCUUGCACUAUUGGAGCGGCCGAUAUCGGAUUAGCUAGUUGGUGAGGUAACGGCUCACCAAGGCGACGAUCCGUAGCUGGUUUGAGAGGACGACCAGCCACACUGGGACUGAGACACGGCCCAGACUCCUACGGGAGGCAGCAGUGGGGAAUUUUGGACAAUGGGGGCAACCCUGAUCCAGCCAUCCCGCGUGUGCGAUGAAGGCCUUCGGGUUGUAAAGCACUUUUGGCAGGAAAGAAACGUCGCGGGCUAAUACCCCGUGGAACUGACGGUACCUGCAGAAUAAGCACCGGCUAACUACGU
rnacentral:rRNA from 1 species